rnacentral:rRNA from 1 species
CACGUAGGGGGCAAGCGUUGUCCGGAUUUAUUGGGCGUAAAGAGCUCGUAGGUGGCUGAGUAAGUCGGAUGUUAAAUCCCCAGGCUCAACCUGGGACACCACCCGAUACUGCUCUGGCUAGAGUCCGGUAGGGGAGCGUGGAAUUCCUGGUGUAGCGGUGAAAUGCGCAGAUAUCAGGAGGAACACCAGCGGCGAAGGCGGCAUCCUGGACCAAUAUUGACGCUGAGGAGCGAAAGCCAGGGGAGCAAACGGG